AUUGAACGCUGGCGGAAUGCUUUACACAUGCAAGUCGAACGGCAGCAUAGGUGCUUGCACCUGAUGGCGAGUGGCGAACGGGUGAGUAAUACAUCGGAACGUGCCCAGUCGUGGGGGAUAACGUAGCGAAAGUUACGCUAAUACCGCAUACGAUCUAAGGAUGAAAGCGGGGGACCGUAAGGCCUUGCGCGAUUGGAGCGGCAGAUGUCAGAUUAGGUAGUUGGUGAGGUAAAGGCUCACCAAGCCGACGAUCUGUAGCUGGUCUGAGAGGACGACCAGCCACACGGGGACUGAGACACGGCCCAGACUCCUACGGGAGGCAGCAGUGGGGAAUUUUGGACAAUGGACGCAAGUCUGAUCCAGCCAUUCCGCGUGCAGGACGAAGGCCUUCGGGUUGUAAACUGCUUUUGUACGGAACGAAAAAGCUCUUACUAAUACUAGGAGUCCAUGACGGUACCGUAAGAAUAAGCACCGGCUAACUACGUGCCAGCCGCCGCAGUAA
rnacentral:rRNA from 1 species